rnacentral:rRNA from 1 species
AACCGAGUCUUAAUUGGGCGUUAAGUUGCAGGGUAUAGACCCGAAACCCGGUGAUCUAGCCAUGGGCAGGUUGAAGGUUGGGUAACACUAACUGGAGGACCGAACCGACUAAUGUUGAAAAAUUAGCGGAUGACCUGUGGCUGGGGGUGAAAGGCCAAUCAAACCGGGAGAUAGCUGGUUCUCCCCGAAAGCUAUUUAGGUAGCGCCUCGUGAAUUCAUCUCCGGGGGUAGAGCACUGUUUCGGCUAGGGGGCCAUCCCGGCUUACCAACCCGAUGCAAACUGCGAAUACCGGAGAAUGUUAUCACGGGAGACACACGGCGGGUGCUAACGUCCGUCGUGAAGAGGGAAACAACCCAGACCGCCAGCUAAGGUCCCAAAGUCAUGGUUAAGUGGGAAACGAUGUGGGAAGGCCCAGACAGCCAGGAUGUUGGCUUAGAAGCAGCCAUCAUUUAAAGAAAGCGUAAUAGCUCACUGGUCGAGUCGGCCUGCGCGGAAGAUGUAACGGGGCUAAACCAUGCACCGAAGCUGCGGCAGCGAACGUAUCACUUAAAGCGAUUCAGCGGGUUACGAUUGACGGAGCGAAGCGACGUCAAAGCGUAUACAAAGUCGAGUCGGUUUAAGGAUACGUUCGUUGGGUAGGGGAGCGUUCUGUAAGCCUGUGAAGGUG